GGGAUGGGCUGCAAGGAGUCAAAUCCUCUUGGCCCUGGUGGUUGGAUUUGGCCCCCUCCCUCCUAGGACUUUGGCAUGCUGGCUUGGUCAUGUCUGACUGUCUCUGUGCUGUCCCUGUCACCAGUCCGGAAGCUUCUCCCCUGUCCCCCACGCCCAACUUCGCUCAAGCCUGCCUCCCUCCCGCAGUGGGCAUGUUUCUUUCUAUGCCUCUCUCCCCUUUGCUAUCUUUGCUCUCCCCCGGGCUCUCCCCUUCCUACCCUCUGCUUUCUCUGUUGUAAACAACAGCUGCUCACAUCUGGGGGCCACCUCCCAGACAUUCCUCAUGGAGGAGGCAGUGCUGGCAAGCCACCCUGCCUCCUCCAGCCCUGACCUCUGGCAGUGGGUCCCAGCUCCCUGACCUCCUCUCUCUGGUGGAUAUAGCUAACACUUUUAAAAGUUGAGGCUUUUGGUUGUUUGUUUUUAAUUGUUUUUCCCAAAUCCACAGCUGACCUGAAAACUUGAGUUUUUUAAAAAUACUUUUUUCUCCAAAAUAGGCCAAAUCCAUUUAGAGCAACUCUUGCAAACUCAACAAAGUGUGAAGAACCAACUAAAUGUCUCUCCUAAUCCCACUUCCCAGCCAUAACCACUGUUAACACGUUAGGUUUUCUCCUGGCCCUUUUCCUCUGUCUUUAAAUAUUUUCAAAUAUAUGUCGUGUAACUUUUUCAAAGACAAUGAAAAGAUUAUCAUAUAAAAUAUUGAGUUCAGUUGUCCCACUGGACAGAGAGGCAAACUGAGCCUAUGCAGAGGAUCAGAGUUGGCCAGGGCUGCACAUCAACCUGACUCCCACCUCUUGGUCUAGACUCUUUACUGUAGUCCUGGUGCCCUCUGGGUUCUCUCUGGUAGAGACCAUUGGCUUCACCAGGCAGGACCCUGGUGAAUAAUGUCAAGAUGAAAGGGAGAAGCAGGGCUGGGCCGCUGGGGUGGGAGACCCUGACCCACAGAGAUGGACAGUAGGGACCUCCCAUGGCCAGAGCCUCAGCCUGGGGUUGGAGGGAACACACUCACGUAGGCCAAGUGCAGUGGGAUUCCCAGGGCCUGGAGAUGCAGGAAGACACUGCUGUUUACACUGAGGACCAGAAGCACCUCUCGGGGCCAGGUGAGAAUAAGGUGAUGACAAUGACUCCUACUUUCCAAACGUCUCCUAGGGACUUGACAUGAGCUAACGGCUUUCCUGCAU
rnacentral:lncRNA from 10 species